AGCAGGCAUGUGCGGGAUGAUUAACGCGGGUUAAUUAACGUAGGUCGCCCUCACGGGCGGCAGCCGCAAGUCGGCGGGCUCCUACGACCCGGGGCCUGCUUUUUG
rnacentral:sRNA from 12 species